UCCCAGAAAGCGGCGGAGUGUCUGGGGGCUUGGGUGUCUCUUGUUUGUAGUGUUGAAACUAUUGUUUGUAGUGAUUGCUGGAAGAUGCGAUUGUUUCCAGAAAUGCCUUAGAGAAUCCUAGAAUGGCUCGGGUUGGACGGGACCUUAAAGAUCAUCUCCCAGGUUGCUCAAAGCCCCAUUCAACCUGGCCUUGAAAACUUCCAGGAACGGCGUAUCCUCAGCUUCUCUGGCAACCUGUUCCAGUGCCUCACCACUCUCACAGUAAAGAAUUUCUUCCUAAUAUCCAAUCUAAGUUGACCCUCCUUCAGUUUAAAGCCUUUGGCCCUUUCCCUAUUGCAGCAGGCCUUGCUAGAAAGUGUGUACCCAUCUUUCUGGUAGACCUCUUUUAGGUAUUGAAACACAGUAAUAAAGUGUCCCUGGAGUCUUCUCUGAAGUGAAUAAUGCCAAAUCUCAGUCUCUCCUCAUAAGAAGAGUGCUCCAGCCCUGAUCAUCUUCAUAGCUCUUGCCUGGACCUGCUCCAACAAGUCUGUCUUUCUUGUGCUGAGGACUCUGGUGCUGGAUGCAGCACUCCAGAUGCAGGUCAGCUGCUCUUGGCUCUUAAUUACACUAUCUGAGGCUUUGCAAAUCACUCCCUUUCCAUGUGUUUCAGAGAAAGAUUAUUUUCUAAAAACAGGUAUUCAAAGAAAAUAGGGAACAGAGAAAGAGGACGUUUGAGUCCAAACAGGAUUAAGAACUCUCUAAUAAAAAGCUAACUGGGGCAUGACAUAACUAAAAAGCAAUAAAACGAACGGAGGACAGGA